rnacentral:ncRNA from 1 species
AAAACAACUUUGAUAGGGAUUGUGAAUCUGAAACAGGGUUGCAGAGAGCCGGGUAAGGUGAAAGCCGGUACCAAUGACAGAUUAACUUAUCACCCUGGAGUUGCCUCUUCGAAAACCUUUGGUAAGUAGGUGGGGCCGGGUUAGGAAACCCGUUACCAAAUCAGCACAAUACAGAAUCUGUAAGUGCAAAGUGGCUCUAUUGAGCAAUCAGGGUGGUACCGCGGAAGGUUUAACCUCUCGUCCCUGGC